ACAUGAUAUCUUAUCAUUCACAGAAAAAGAUCGUACUACUUCUAACAACACUCUCAUUUAGAAUAUCUUUGCGUUGAUUUCACCAACUUAAAAAAGCAGAAAUCGAUGAUAAUGAUAACCACUACCCAAAUGAUAAAGUGCGUCUUUCCAAUAGUGGAUGGACCAUAAAGCCCAUCACCGCUUUUCCUAUUGUCUCACCAAUGAUGUAUCAUCUUCUUUUUGCUUUGCUGCGGGGUGAGCUGGAAACACAAGCUGCUUUUUGUCAAAACUAUUGACAUUUCCGAGUAAAAGUGGUUGGCAAAGCCCCACAUUGGCUUCCGAGAAUUCAUUGUGAAAUAUUCCGACCGACAAUCAAACGCCUUCCUAUCUCGGAAAGUCGAUGGGUGCUACGGGGAACAUUCGAAGUCCUCGCAGCUAUCACAGGGUGCGUGUCGGUAACGACGUUCAUCAUUCCUUCUUCCUGUCUCAGCAAAAAUCCCCCCCAUCACCCGCCGAGGAGCGGAAUUUAGGGGACCAUAUCAAGUCGAUGCCUUCGGGAAAUUGGCUUGCAAGACAAGAGUGGCGGAAAUUGAUUUGCGACUGCGGCGUCGAGUAGAUAGAUUGAAAAAGGGUUUGUCUAUGUAUUUUCGAAAAUGGGACGGAGUGGAAGGAUCAUGAUUGUAGAACAAUGGCCCCAUGUGGCAGCGGAGAAGAAUGGCCUCGGAGGUGGGAGGGAGGAUAAUGGCGAGGCGCUUGGGACAAGAUUCCAGGAGGCAAAAUUAAAUUGCAAGAGGAAACGAUCGCAGGAGUAGAAGGAGCACCCCAGUGUCGGCUCUUCACGAAGGAGGAUAAAGCGGCAUUUUGCGAUUUAUUAACGUAGGUGCAGGUGCCUUAACGAUCAGCUGCAAAUGGAAACUGCCAUUACAUAUUCCAACAAUGUGAGGGCAAUGGACCUGAGUCCGUCAGCAGUCAGUAUUGACUGCUUUGUUUAGAAGUCGUUUAGAUCGUCAAAAAAUAAUUUUGAUUGAGGGAGCUUGUCACACAAUACAUGAUUUGAAAGAUUGUCGUAAUUGUCAAUUCGCAGCUGAACAGGAUGGAGCAAAAGGAAUUUCUGCAACUCGUUUGAUUUAACAGGUCUGGGAAUGUUACAACACAAAAUGGUUAUCUACUUUUAUGGCAACAUGUACUGUUCACAACAGUUCCAUGGCAGUACUUUGAAUUUUGGGAAGUCAGCACGACCCUACAUGUUUUGGAUGAGGUCUGGCUGUCUUUCCGAUGGAAUUUCUUAAUGACAUGAAUACAUAUCACGUCAAAGUUGCAACCAAAGUUUGUAGUUUUGCAAGGAUGAAGUUUUGAUUUGUAGAAUUUCGUCAUGAGGAUGUAUCUAGUCGUUCUGUGUGAAACAUUGAACAGCUCUCUCAAGAUUUAGAUGUUGGCAGUAUCUUUUGUAUCACAAAUUCUUCAAGUUGGCAGCAAUUCUGCUAACCCUAGCCGGUACUGACUAGCUUACUUAGUAUUUUUGCGUUGAAGCAGAUGGUGGAAGUUUUUGUUCUCAUUUUGAGGGCCGACAAAAAUUCACCCACUGUAGCUGUGCAGCUAUUGCUAACGCUGAUUAUUAUGAUACAAAUUUUUACGCUUCGAACACGCCAUAUUUAUGUAUUAAGUCUGAAUCUCACUCAUGCAGGGGAAUAGGGGAGGCGUCAUAUCGUUUUUUUCUUUUUUCUUCUCUUUAAUUAUUUUGUCCAACAGAACAUGGUUGCUACCGACAGUCGAAGUCGUAUCUUAGUGGAUCUUAUAGCUUGUUUUUAUUUUCAUGAAGUAAAGGCCGAAUCUUAUACUCGGACUCAUCACGACAUUGAUCACAUUAUCAAGUGCAAGUCGUGCAUCCAUGCAUUGGCAUAUCAAAUUGAGUCACUAACCUCAUUACGUUACAGGCGAAGUACUUGAACACUUGUGACCUGUGUCUCGAAUCUCCUGAACAUGUGCAGUCAACUUUUUUCAGCAGUUACAACACUAACCGUCUAAUUUCCUUCCCUUUUGAUCUAAACCAUGAAUAGCAUCUCGCUUAUCGUAUCAUGUUCCUUGGGAAACAUAACACUGCACCAACCUCUUGUCACCAUUACGCUUCCAUUUAGCCCAUCCAUUUUGAACAAACUGUUGAGUCACAGUUAAUCAUGGUCACUUGGAAGAUUUUAACAAUGUGUUAUCAUCUCGCUAUUUUUCUGCAUAUUCAUGAAGUACCCCAUCCACUCUGAUAGGUUUGUGCGGCACCCCAGGUAGACAACAGCAACAGAUGUCCUUGUAUUCUCUACAAGUCUCCUUUUCUUCAUAUCCUACUUGCUUUGCAGUGCAGAAUGAUUUCAUUCUCCUUUUACAGUGAAGCUGUGAAGGUCGUUCGCCAUGAAGAGGGCGUGGUUUGCGUUGCUAUUCGAACAAUUAAGUUCACUGUAUAUAGUGGUUAGUUCAGAAUAGCUCUGUAAAUUUUGUGCUUUAAAUUUUUGGGUAAGUUUCUAAAAUUCCAUUGAAGCUUAUGACUUUUCUAGGGCAGCAAUCCUUUGCCCUGUAUGAUCUCUUUUAGCAAAUAAUCAUCCUUGUUAUUCUUCGGUUCAGAGACCCAGAUGCAUCUGUAGAAGCACGACUGAUAGAGACCAUAGAAUCGCAUUUGUUUAUUGAUGAGCAUCUUAACUAUUCUUCAUGUGUUGUUCAAAUUCAUUACUGACAUUAUCCUGAUGUUGAUUGUCUUACGUCACAAAGUUGUUUACAUGACCAGUAUACCAGAUUCUGAAGAAACAUUGGGAAGGCUGAAAGAAUCUGUAGCUGAAAUCGGGGACCUAAUGUUGGGUCGAUAUUGCAGGAUCAACAUAACAGCACUUCGACAUCGCUACAUCUUCUAUAGUGACUGCUGCAUAUCCUGCACCACAAAAAUUUCCUCAACUGCAUAGGAGCUUUAAUUUCAAGGAUGCACCGUCCAGUUCCUCCCGAGUGAAAACUUCAAUAUUCUGACUGCGCUUUAAAUUGGCAGGGUGAAGCUAGCAGUUUCGAUGGAGAGCGGAAGGAGGACCACUACCUGAUAAUUCAGCUCUACACAACUGGGCAGCUUCGGACGAGACAUUGUUACACGCUCUUUGAAGUCUUCCACGCUAGAAAAAGGAAUGAGAAGUUUUUUUUGAUACGUCGCACCCACGUUUUGUUUACUUGCUACCACCCUUGUAUGUAUUGAAAUUGUAGCUUUGCAGUGUUUUGCAACAUUGUCAAUUAUGGAGUGUACACUAAUGUCUACCUCAUAUUAGUAUGAAUUUGCUUCAAUCGGUAUGUAAAACUGCUACUUAUGUUAUAUUCCGUAAUUCCUGAGGUCAAAUUGGAAUUGUAUUCGUUUAUCUAAGAAUCUGGUCUUGUUUAUUGGUGCUGGUUGAUACAUCUACAAUGUGUCCAAAAUCUUUUGGUUUGCUCUCUAGUGUAAAGAACUGGACGCUCCUCUGCUCCAGAGAAUCACUUCGUUUGUUUUGAUGCCUAACACUCGAACUUAUCACUUCUUCAGUCUCAUAAUAGUCGUUGCUUUAGAUAGUUGCAUUGGUACUCUCAUUAUUUCCCUUGUCAUGCAAGUUCUCUUCUAAUCUAUUGAAGAAUCUGGUUGAAAUUUUGAAGUUUCAUUGUUCACACUCGACAAAAUUCGGAUAAGUGAGCCAUAGGAAUUUCGGAUGGUCUGGAAUUUGCAGCCUAGAGUGAAUGAAAAAUAUGCAACUGGACCGCAUCAACGCCUUCGAUAGCCCCACCAAACCCAGGCUGAGAGGAAGCAGUUGUGGAUGAGGAAGGUGAAUGGGUAGAAGCUUCGGAUGCGAAAAGAAUGUUGCGAUCGUAGUGACCGAAUGGCAUCACUGAAAUUCACUUCCAGAUUUGCUACAGCGGUUCUGCCAAGGGAGAGGCGUCGCAACAAACACAGCAGUCUGGCUGAAAGAAAUUGAACUUCGAAAUGCCAGUUCGCAGGAAUGCAUUUGUCAUUUCGUUUGACACCGAUGGUGCCCGAAUAAGAGCUAAUGGAACAUCAUGUGACGUAACCUCACUGUCGGCAUACCAUGCUUGUGGUGUUGAUCGGUAGAAGUUGAUUGCCAUAAAACCAGAAGUAGACGGUUCAGCACAGGCUAGGAAUCCAGCUUGUGUUACCUUAGUUUCUGUGUACAUGCUUACAUCGGUGGUAAGUCCUGCAGCAGAAGUCAAUCGACUGUUUCCUUGGCCGAUUCAUCACCAUAAGAAGGAAGAAGACACUCCCCUUGCCUGUGAUACUCCUCACAAUUGUGGCAACAGGAUGUUUUCUCAAGAGGAAUCGCUUGAUGCUGUCCAUUGUUAAGCAGGUCGAUCCUUAGAUCCGAUCAUCAUAUUAUUAGAACGAUUACCAUAAGAAGGGUUUUUUAGAACUAGAAGCCUGUGGAAUUCUGCUCUUGCUGAUUGAAGAAACUUAAGAUGUAGACUCGCUCUCUCUCUCUCUCUGAUGGAACAACUAACGUUGCAUGCCUUCAACUGGGGUGCUUUGCUUCUUUCAGCUUUUCCUCCUUCAAGCAAACGGUUAGCAAGAGUCUCGAUACAGCGAUUAUGUUCAAGAAUGUCAUGCAAUACGGUGUCAAGGCAGUUAAGUUUUGCAAGAGCUUUGGAAAUGAUCGUAGAAAAGAAAGAGCCAUGUAGUUGACUGUUACAAUUGUCAAGGUCUUGAACAAUAAUACUAUCACCGACAGGUUCGUCAAAGAGCUUUUUGUGGGUACGAUGAAAUGAACAAUGAAGACUUAUUGUUUGAAAGAACAGCGAGACCAAUACCUGUUAUACAGCACCAAAUACUCUGUUGACUAGUUUAUAUAUAUAUAUAUAUAUAUAUAUAUAUAUGUUUUAAGAAUUUCAUGUCAC